ensembl:lncRNA
CCUCCAUUGAUUGUUCAGGUGUUGUUGGUCUUUGUUUAUACAUAUCUGUGUUCAAAACCUGAAAAAUUCUGCUUUUUCAGACAGUAGAAAGCAGAGUGCUGGUGUCUUUAGGAAGCUCAGGAUAGUGAGGAUGUUUCAGACGUCAGAGCUACAGCAAACACCUGCCAUCUAUUGGACCAUGUGUUCUUCAUCAGCAGCUUUGACGCUUAUCUGUACGUGUGUGUUUGUACUUUGCCAAAAUGUUCUACACACACACACACAAAGAACAAAAUAAAAACAAACAAAAAGUGAGCCACUGGGGG